GGCUUGUGGCUCAGGGGUAGAGCACUCGCCUAGCGUGUGUGAGGCACUGGGUUUGAUUCUCAGCACCA
rnacentral:tRNA from 1 species